GGGGGCGACCUUGGUUUCGACGGGGGUUGCGAAGCAGAUGCGGGCAUACCGGGGUCUCAGAUUUCCCGUAAAACACUGAAUCUAAAUAGUCGCAAACGACGAAACUUUCGCACUGGCCGCUUAAGGCCUGCCGUUGCAGCAGUUGGUCAAUGGGCUGUGUAGCGUAAGCUACUGCAACGUCAUUCUACAUUGACUGGUUUCCCGUCGGGUUACUUGGCAGGAAAUGAGAUUUAAGGUAACUGGUUCCUAGAAGGCCUGUCGGUCGGCAUGAUAGGAACGA
rnacentral:tmRNA from 1 species